AGAGUUUGAUCCUGGCUCAGGAUAAACGCUGGCGGCGUGCCUAACACAUGCAAGUCGAACGCUCUCUUGCCGCAAGGUGAGAGGGAGUGGCGGACGGGUGAGUAACACAUGGGAAUCGACCCAUUCGUGAGGAAUACCACCGAGAAAUCGGUGACAAUACCGCAUACGCUUUCUUCGGGAGGCAAAGCUCUUCGCAAGAGGGGUGCGAGUGGACGAGCCUGUGCCUGAUUAGCUGGUUGGUGGGGUAAGAGCCUACCAAGGCUGCGAUCAGUCGCUGGUCUGAGAGGAUGAUCAGCCACACUGGGAUUGAGAACGGCCCAGACUCCUACGGGGGGCAGCAGUGAGGAAUAUUCGGCAAUGGGGGCAACCCUGACCGAGCAACGCCGCGUGCAGGAAGACGGCCUUCGGGUUGUAAACUGCUUUUCUGGGGGAAGAGAACGGACGGUACCCCAGGAAGAAGCUCCGGCUAACUACGUGCCAGCAGCCGCGGUAAUACGUAGGGAGCGAGCGUUGUCCGGAGUUACUGGGCGUAAAGCGCACGCAGGCGGUCUGUUGCGUUCGUGCCGACAGCGACUCGCCUAACGAGUCGAGGAGUACGGAAACGGGCAGACUUGAGGGCCAGAGAGGGACACGGAACUCCGGGUGGAGUGGUGAAAUGCGUAGAGAUCCGGAAGAACACCAAAGGCGAAGGCAGUGUCCUGGUUGGUACCUGACGCUCAGAGGCGACAGCUAGGGGAGCGAACGGGAUUAGAUACCCCGGUAGUCC
rnacentral:rRNA from 1 species